rnacentral:rRNA from 1 species
GAUGAACGCUGGCGGCGUGCUUAACACAUGCAAGUCGAACGAGUGGAGAACGGGUGAGUAACACGUUGGUGAUCUGCCUUGUACUUCGGGGUAAGCCUGGGAAAAUGGGUCUAAUACCGGAUAGUACGAGUGGAGCCCGCGGCCUAUCAGCUUGUUGGUGGGGUAAUGGCUACCAAGGCGCGACGGGUAGCCGGCCUGACAGGGUGUACGGCCCCAUUGGGACUGUGACACGGCCCAGACGCCUACCCGAGGCAGCAGUGGGCGACAUUUCACAAUGGGCGGGAGCCUGAUGCAACGACGCGGCGUGAGGGAUGACGCACUUCGGGUUGUAGACCACUUUCGCUAGCGAGGAGGUACCUGGAUGAGAGGCACCGGCUGACUACGUGCCAGCAGCCGCGGUAAUUC